GCUGGGGUAGCUCAGUCGGUAGAGCACAGGUCUGAAAAACCUGGUGUCGUCAGUUCGAUUCUGACCCCCAGCA
rfam:Elusimicrobia bacterium RIFOXYB2_FTLL_49_7 rifoxyb2_full_scaffold_6524, whole genome shotgun sequence.